rnacentral:rRNA from 1 species
UACGUAGGGUGCAAGCGUUGUCCGGAAUUAUUGGGCGUAAAGAGCUCGUAGGCGGUUCGUCGCGUCGGCUGUGAAAUCCCGAGGCUCAACCUCGGGUCUGCAGUCGAUACGGGCGGACUGGAGUUCGGCAGGGGAGACUGGAAUUCCUGGUGUAGCGGUGAAAUGACGCAGAUAUCAGGAGGAACACCGGUGGCGAAGGCGGGGUCUCUGGGCCGAUACUGACGCUGAGGAGCGAAAGCGUGGGGAGCGAACAGG